GGGUUGUGAGGUUAAGCGACUAAGCGUACACGGUGGAUGCCCUGGCAGUCAGAGGCGAUGAAGGACGUGCUAAUCUGCGAAAAGCGUCGGUAAGGUGAUAUGAACCGUUAUAGCCGGCGAUGUCCGAAUGGGGAAACCCAGUGCAAUUCGUUGCACUAUCGUUUGAUGAAUACAUAGUCAAACGAGGCGAACCGGGGGAACUGAAACAUCUAAGUACCCCGAGGAAAAGAAAUCAACCGAGAUUCCCCAGUAGCGGUGAGCGAACGGGGAGCAGCCCGGAGUCUGAAUCAGCUUGUGUGUUAGUGGAAGCGUCUGGAAAGUCGCAGGGUACAGGGUGAUACUCCCGUACACUAAAACACACAGGCUGUGAACUCGAAGAGUAGGGCGGGACACGUGGUAUCCUGUCUGAAUAUGGGGGACCAUCCUCCAAGGCUAAAUACUCCUGACUGACCGAUAGUGAACCAGUACCGUGAGGGAAAGGCGAAAAGAACCCCGGCGAGGGGAGUGAAAAAGAACCUGAAACCGUGUACGUACAAGCAGUAGGAGCCUCUUUAUGGGGUGACUGCGUACCUUUUGUAUAAUGGGUCAGCGACUUAUAUUCUGUAGCAAGGUUAACCGUAUAGGGGAGCCGCAGGGAAACCGAGUCUUAACUGGGCGUUAAGUUGCAGGGUAUAGACCCGAAACCCGGUGAUCUAGCCAUGGGCAGGUUGAAGGUUGGGUAACACUAACUGGAGGACCGAACCGACUAAUGUUGAAAAAUUAGCGGAUGACUUGUGGCUGGGGGUGAAAGGCCAAUCAAACCGGGAGAUAGCUGGUUCUCCCCGAAAGCUAUUUAGGUAGCGCCUCGUGAACUCAUCUUCGGGGGUAGAGCACUGUUUCGGCUAGGGGGUCAUCCCGACUUACCAACCCGAUGCAAACUACGAAUACCGAAGAAUGUUAUCACGGGAGACACACGGCGGGUGCUAACGUCCGUCGUGAAGAGGGAAACAACCCAGACCGCCAGCUAAGGUCCCAAAGUCAUGGUUAAGUGGGAAACGAUGUGGGAAGGCCCAGACAGCCAGGAUGUUGGCUUAGAAGCAGCCAUCAUUUAAAGAAAGCGUAAUAGCUCACUGGUCGAGUCGGCCUGCGCGGAAGAUGUAACGGGGCUAAACCAUGCACCGAAGCUGCGGCAGCGACACUAUGUGUUGUUGGGUAGGGGAGCGUUCUGUAAGCCGUUGAAGGUGGCCUGUGAGGGUUGCUGGAGGUAUCAGAAGUGCGAAUGCUGACAUAAGUAACGAUAAUGCGGGUGAAAAACCCGCACGCCGGAAGACCAAGGGUUCCUGUCCAACGUUAAUCGGGGCAGGGUGAGUCGACCCCUAAGGCGAGGCCGAAAGGCGUAGUCGAUGGGAAACAGGUUAAUAUUCCUGUACUCGGUGUUACUGCGAAGGGGGGACGGAGAAGGCUAUGUUGGCCGGGCGACGGUUGUCCCGGUUUAAGCAUGUAGGCGGAUGUUCCAGGUAAAUCCGGAACGUUAUUAACGCUGAGGUGUGAUGACGAGGCACUACGGUGCUGAAGUGACAAAUGCCCUGCUUCCAGGAAAAGCCUCUAAGCAUCAGGUAACAUCAAAUCGUACCCCAAACCGACACAGGUGGUCAGGUAGAGAAUACCAAGGCGCUUGAGAGAACUCGGGUGAAGGAACUAGGCAAAAUGGUGCCGUAACUUCGGGAGAAGGCACGCUGAUAUGUAGGUGAAGUGGUUUACCCAUGGAGCUGAAAUCAGUCGAAGAUACCAGCUGGCUGCAACUGUUUAUUAAAAACACAGCACUGUGCAAACACGAAAGUGGACGUAUACGGUGUGACGCCUGCCCGGUGCCGGAAGGUUAAUUGAUGGGGUUAUCCGUAAGGAGAAGCUCUUGAUCGAAGCCCCGGUAAACGGCGGCCGUAACUAUAACGGUCCUAAGGUAGCGAAAUUCCUUGUCGGGUAAGUUCCGACCUGCACGAAUGGCGUAAUGAUGGCCAGGCUGUCUCCACCCGAGACUCAGUGAAAUUGAACUCGCUGUGAAGAUGCAGUGUACCCGCGGCAAGACGGAAAGACCCCGUGAACCUUUACUAUAGCUUGACACUGAACACUGGUCCUUGAUGUGUAGGAUAGGUGGGAGGCUUUGAAGUGUGGACGCCAGUCUGCAUGGAGCCAUCCUUGAAAUACCACCCUUUAAUGGCUGGUGUUCUAACGUGGGCCCGUUAUCCGGGUUGCGGACAGUGUCUGGUGGGUAGUUUGACUGGGGCGGUCUCCUCCUAAAGAGUAACGGAGGAGCACGAAGGUCAGCUAAUCCUGGUCGGACAUCAGGAGGUUAGUGCAAUGGCAUAAGCUGGCUUGACUGCGAGCGUGACGGCGCGAGCAGGUGCGAAAGCAGGUCAUAGUGAUCCGGUGGUUCUGAAUGGAAGGGCCAUCGCUCAACGGAUAAAAGGUACUCCGGGGAUAACAGGCUGAUACCGCCCAAGAGUUCAUAUCGACGGCGGUGUUUGGCACCUCGAUGUCGGCUCAUCACAUCCUGGGGCUGAAGUAGGUCCCAAGGGUAUGGCUGUUCGCCAUUUAAAGUGGUACGCGAGCUGGGUUUAGAACGUCGUGAGACAGUUCGGUCCCUAUCUGCCGUGGGCGCUGGAGAAUUGAGGGGGGCUGCUCCUAGUACGAGAGGACCGGAGUGGACGCAUCACUGGUGUUCGGGUUGUCAUGCCAAUGGCAUUGCCCGGUAGCUAAAUGCGGAAGAGAUAAGUGCUGAAAGCAUCUAAGCACGAAACUUGCCCCGAGAUGAGUUCUCCCUGACCCUUUAAGGGUCCUGAAGGAACGUUGAAGACGACGACGUUGAUAGGCCGGGUGUGUAAGCGCAGCGAUGCGUUGAGCUAACCGGUACUAAUGAACCGUGAGGCUUAACCUUACAACGCCGAAG
rnacentral:rRNA from 1 species